AUCGACGACUCAGCUGCGCCAUAAGCACCCACACGAAUUGCUUGAUUCAUUGAAGAAGACGAUUAGAAGCAGCGCCCGAGUUCGGGUCUGUAGCUCAGUUGGUUAGAGCGCACCCCUGAUAAGGGUGAGGUCGGCAGUUCGAAUCUGCCCAGACCCACCAGUUUACUGGUGAGAUAGCUGGUCAGAGAGACGCCUCCACGGUAUGUAGAAAUACGGGGCCAUAGCUCAGCUGGGAGAGCGCCUGCCUUGCACGCAGGAGGUCAGCGGUUCGAUCCCGCUUGGCUCCACCACUUACUGCUUCUGUUUGAAAGCUUAGAAAUGAGCAUUCCACUGAUCCUGAUGAUCAGUGCCUGAAUGUUGAUUUCUAGUCUUUGAUUAGAUCGUUCUUUAAAAAUUUGGGUAUGUGAUAGAAAGAAAUAUAGACCGGGCACCUCUUUCACUGGUGCGUGUCCGGGCUAAGGUAAAGUUUGUGAAAUGCAAACUUUCGGCGAAUGUCGUCUUCACAGUAUAACCAGA
rnacentral:tRNA from 1 species